ACAUAAGGUGCCUCUUGAUAAACCUAGUUUCAAUUUCUUCAUUUCAAUGAGGUUGAAUUUAUGCUUUAUUAUGGUUUGAAUCUGAGAUAUUCGUACAUGUGGAAGGCUUGGUAGUGCUACCAGCUGGUGACAGACACUUUAGAAGAUGGGGCUUCCCUGAAGGAAAUAGGUCACUGGCCACCUGACAUUGACAGGUAUAUUGGGACCAUGCCUUCUUUCUCUCUGUCUCUCCCCAGCCCCAGUUGCUAUGAGGUGAACAGCUUUGGUCUACUGUGCCCUUCUACUUAUUGUAAGCCUGGGAAUAAUGGUGCCAGUUGACUGUUUUGAAACCUCCUGAACUGGAGGAACUAGGAGUUUAUAAUAAUUGUUUUUGACUUUCAGAGAGAGAGAGAGAAAGAGAGAGAGACUGGUCCUUCAGGGUCCAGUGAAGUGUCUAUUGGAUCACACCAUAUGGAGCAGACAGAGCAGCAGGACCUGAUGAAUACUGGAUAGCCAAUAAAAAUGGUCCCCUCACUGAUCUAUGCUUCAUGUUCAUCGUUUAUUUCUGCACAAGACACAACAUUUACCGUUACAGUCGGGCCUUUGUAUCCUCAAAUCCACAUCGAUGGAUUCAACCAAAUGCAGAUAUUUUAAAAUCAGGGUCCUGGAGCUCAUCUCUCACAGAUCCUUGGGGAUGACUAUUCGCUGUAUGUCUCCACCUUGCAUGAGAUGGGCUACUUCCCAAGUGUAAAUGCAAAAGUAUUGCUGAAUUGAUCCUUCCGUGGAUGGAUGGUUGAGAGCAUGUCAUAGAGGCCCCAG